rnacentral:rRNA from 1 species
GAUCAGUGGCUCGAGGACGACGCUGGCGGCGUGCUUAACACAUGCAAGUCGAACGGUAAGGCCCUUCGGGGUACACGAGUGGCGAACGGGUGAGUAACACGUGGGUGAUCUGCCUGCACUUCGGGAUAAGCCUGGGAAACUGGGUCUAAUACCGGAUAGGACCAUGGACUUCACGGUUUGUGGUGGAAAGCUUUUGCGGUGUGGGAUGGGCCCGCGGCCUAUCAGCUUGUUGGUGGGGUAAUGGCCUACCAAGGCGACGACGGGUAGCCGGCCUGAGAGGGUGUCCGGCCACACUGGGACUGAGAUACGGCCCAGACUCCUACGGGAGGCAGCAGUGGGGAAUAUUGCACAAUGGGCGCAAGCCUGAUGCAGCGACGCCGCGUGAGGGAUGACGGCCUUCGGGUUGUAAACCACUUUCAAUAGGGACGAAGCGCAAGUGACGGUACCUAUAGAAGAAGCACCGGCCAACUACGUG